rnacentral:rRNA from 1 species
UGUUGCCUCCGGGGCGACCCUGCCUUCGGGCGGGGGCUCCGGGUGGACACUUCAAACUCUUGCGUAACUUUGCAGUCUGAGUAAACUUAAUUAAUAAAUUAAAACUUUUAACAACGGAUCUCUUGGUUCUGGCAUCGAUGAAGAACGCAGCGAAAUGCG